UACAGAGGGGGCAAGCGUUGUUCGGAAUUACUGGGCGUAAAGGGCGCGUAGGCGGCCUGCUAAGUCGAACGUGAAAUCCCCGGGCUCAACCCGGGAACUGCGUCCGAUACUGGUGGGCUUGAAUCCGGGAGAGGGAUGUGGAAUUCCAGGUGUAGCGGUGAAAUGCGUAGAUAUCAGGAAGAACACCAAUGGCGAAAGCAGCUCUCUGGGACGGUACUGACGCUGAGACGCGAAAGCGUGGGGAGCGAACAGG
rnacentral:rRNA from 1 species